rnacentral:tRNA from 1 species
UCCCUAGUGGCUCAGUUGGUAAAGAAUCUGCCUGCAGUGCAGAAGACCCGGGUUCAGUCCCUGGGUUGGGAA